GUUCGUCUUCAGGGGCAGGGUGAAAUUCCCGACCGGUGGUUAUACAGUCCACGACCCAUCCGCGUGAUGGUUGAAUCGGUGAAAUGCCGAUACCGAUAGUUAAAGUCUAGAUAAAGAAGAUUGGG
rnacentral:ncRNA from 1 species